rfam:Stegodyphus mimosarum contig17876, whole genome shotgun sequence.
GCCUUCGUGGUGUAGUGGUCAGCACGCUGGGCGCGGAUUCCAGAGAUCCAUGGUUCGAGUCCCGGCGAAGGCG